rnacentral:rRNA from 1 species
UACGAAGGGGGCUAGCGUUGCUCGGAAUCACUGGGCGUAAAGGGUGCGUAGGCGGCUUUCUAAGUCAGGGGUGAAAUCCUGGAGCUCAACUCCAGAACUGCCUUUGAUACUGGAGAGCUUGAGUCCGGGAGAGGUGAGUGGAACUCCGAGUGUAGAGGUGAAAUUCGUAGAUAUUCGGAAGAACACCAGUGGCGAAGGCGGCUCACUGGCCCGGUACUGACGCUGAGGCGCGAAAGCGUGGGGAGCAAACAGG